rnacentral:hammerhead_ribozyme from 1 species
AUCCAGUUGACGAAUCUCAAACUAGAACGAAACGUGUGUCCUGGAU